GAGUGUGGGGAAAACGGCCCGGUUGUCCUGAAAGGAAAUAGCGUGCAAGCUCCAGUGUGUUGGGAAAACAACUAAAAAGAAAGAGAGCACAAGAAACAACCAAAUGGAACCAUAAGGUGACCAGGACAGAGGUGGAGUUGAAAGUAGGGGAGACUCUGAAACUGGCACCACAUCGAGAGAAACAAAAUCAGGUAUGCAGCCAUGACGCCUCCUUCACUUUCCUUCCAUUUAGGAAAGGCUGAACAAGUCCAAGGAAAGGGCAGAAGAUGAGGUGGCCAGCGGAC